UACAGAGGGCGCGAGCGUUGUCCGGAAUCACUGGGCGUAAAGGGCGCGUAGGUGGCUGGCAAAGCGUGCGGUGAAAGCCCGGGGCUCAACCCCGGGUCGGCCGUGCGAACUGGUCAGCUCGAGCAUGGUAGAGGCGGGUGGAAUUCCGGGUGUAGCGGUGGAAUGCGUAGAGAUCCGGAAGAACACCGGUGGCGAAGGCGGCCCGCUGGGCAACUGCUGACACUGAGGCGCGACAGCGUGGGGAGCAAACAGG
rnacentral:rRNA from 1 species